rnacentral:rRNA from 1 species
CCAGCAGCCGCGGUAAUUCCAGCUCCAAUAGCGUAUAUUAAAGUUGUUGCAGUUAAAAAGCUCGUAGUUGAAGUUUGGUCUCGGACGCUGGGUCUGCUUCAUUGCAUGUACUUGACGGUCCGAGACUUCCUUCUUGGUGAACGGCCGCCUUCGGGUGGUCCGGAACCAGGACUAUUACUUUGAAAAAAUUAGAGUGUUCAAAGCAGGCCAUAGGCCCGAAUAUAUUAGCAUGGAAUAACAGAAUAGGACGUGCGGUUCUAUUUUGUUGGUUUCUAGAACUGCCGUAAUGAUUAAAAGGGACAGCCGGGGGCAUUAGUAUUUGCACGCUAGAGGUGAAAUUCUUGGAUUGUGCAAAGACUUCCUACUGCGAAAGCAUUUGCCAAGAAUG